rfam:Methanosaeta thermophila PT, complete genome.
GCGGGGGUUGCCAAGCAUGGUCAAAGGCGCAGGAUUGAGGGUCCUGUCACGUAGGUGUUCGCGGGUUCGAAUCCCGUCCCCCGCA